rnacentral:rRNA from 1 species
GACGAACGCUGGCGGCGUGCUUAACACAUGCAAGUCGAACGGUAAGGCCCUUCGGGGUACACGAGUGGCGAACGGGUGAGUAACACGUGGGUGAUCUGCCCUGCACUUCGGGAUAAGCCUGGGAAACUGGGUCUAAUACCGGAUAGGACUCCUGGCUUCAUGGUUGGGGGUGGAAAGCUUUUGCGGUGUGGGAUGGGCCCGCGGCCUAUCAGCUUGUUGGUGGGGUAAUGGCCUACCAAGGCGACGACGGGGAGCCGGCCUGAGAGGGUGACCGGUCACACUGGGGCUGAGAUACGGCCCAGACUCCUACGGGAGGCAGCAGUGGGGAAUAUUGCACAAUGGGCGCAAGCCUGAUGCAGCGACGCCGCGUGAGGGAUGACGGCCUUCGGGUUGUAAACCUCUUUCAGCUAUGACGAAGCGCAAGUGACGGUAGUAGCAGAAGAAGGACCGGCCAACUACGUGCCAGCCGCCGCGGUAA